rnacentral:rRNA from 1 species
UGGGGAAUAUUGCACAAUGGGCGAAAGCCUGAUGCAGCAACGCCGCGUGAGUGAUGAAGGUCUUCGGAUUGUAAAGCUCUGUCUUUUGGGACGAUAAUGACGGUACCAAAGGAGGAAGCCACGGCUAACUACGUGCCAGCAGCCGCGGUAAUACGUAGGUGGCGAGCGUUGUCCGGGAUUUACUGGGCGUAAAGGGUGCGUAGGCGGAUGUUUAAGUGAGAUGUGAAAUACCCGGGCUUAACUUGGGUGCUGCAUUUCAAACUGGAUAUCUAGAGUGCAGGAGAGGAGAAUGGAAUUCCUAGUGUAGCGGUGAAAUGCGUAGAGAUUAGGAAGAACACCAGUGGCGAAGGCGAUUCUCUGGACUGUAACUGACGCUGAGGCACGAAAGCGUGGGUAGCAAACAGGAUUAGAUACCCUGGUAGUCCACGCCGUAAACGAUGAGUACUAGGUGUAGGAGGUAUCGACCCCUUCUGUGCCGCA